rnacentral:ncRNA from 1 species
GGAACAAGGGGUGCCGCUUAUGGCUGAGAGCAGACGCCGCGUCUGCAACCCUGUCACCUGAUCCGGAUAAUGCCGGCGGAGGGAUGUUUGCA